rnacentral:lncRNA from 1 species
AAAAAUAUAAAUCAAGCAUAACAUGACAUGGACUAAACAUGUAAUAUACCUCCCUUGCAUGACAAAGAUCACAACAAGUGCUUAACUAACUUAUUCUCACAGAAUAUCAACUUACUCUUCUCAGGGUUGUACCACAAUCCGCGACAUACUCGUAAUCCAGUCUGAACGGAUCUCAUCACACGGUCAUCUGACCACUCAUCAUAUAGCCUUGUCUUGGGUAACACAUCAUGUUAUCAACAUCCUCUCAUGUUCACACAAGACGAGUUCUUCCAUCAUUACUGACACUGCUAUGGUUGACCGUCUACUGAGGUCUGGCCGGGCUAUCCACUUCCAUGGACUCGGCUAUUCGAAUAGGUUUCACACUGUGUAGAGGUUGCACACUUUAUCCACACUCUAGAGCACUGGCCUCGUGAUCCCAUUCGGGUGGACCAGCAUUGCUCCAAUGAAACUUUCCUGACCGUGACACUCUCAACGUACCACCGGCAACCACUCUCCUCUAGAGUCUUGCCCUGGGUGGCCCUGUGUCCUCAUGACACUUGUCACCAUCGUGGCGAAACAAAACUGUCCCAACCGGGGACGGGUACCCAACUCAAAUUAACUGGACUCACAGGAUUAUCACCGCCUACCUGAUCAGGGU